GACGGACUUCUGAGCACACGGGAAGCAACAGUGACGAAAGAUACCCGGAAGUGAGCAACAGCUAACCAUCCAGAUCUAUCCCCACGGUGGCCCCUCUGACCUUUCCCUCCGGAAGCACUCGCGGCUCUCGGGUGCGAGUGCGCACGCGCGCCCACUGGGGUCGCUCCGGGUGGCGCAGGAGCUGGGGCUGGAGGGAUGGGUCUGCCUCCAAGGCUGGCCGGCGCCUGCGCCGCGGGGCUCCCGUCAGGACGCGCAUUCUCUCACCCUCCCUCUGCUGCGCGCGCCCGGUGGGCGUGGGAGGAGGCGGGAAACUGGGGAGGGGCGGGUGUCGCCGGAGGGAAGGAGCGAACCGGAGAGCGUCGUCCUGAGAGGAGUAAAGGCGGCAAAAUGGCGGACCGCUUCUCCCGUUUCUACGAGGACCGACACUUCCCGGGUAAUCACUUUGAUCAAUAUGAGGAAGGACACUUGGAAAUUGAACAAGCAUCACUUGACAAGCCUAUUGAAUCGCAAUAUCUAUUGAGAGGUGCUGACUGUUUUGCUACAGCAUGCAACUCAAAAGUGGCUGGAAAUAUGCAGCUUUGGGAGUCUACAGAUCAUUGCAGGAGCUAA
ensembl:lincRNA